AUGAGCUGGACUCCCCUCCUCCUCCUCCUCCUCGCUCUCUGCCCAGGGUCCAGGUCUCAGGCUGUGGUCACUCAGGAGCCCUCAAUGACUGUGUCCCCCGGAGCGACGGUCACUCUCACCUGCGGCUCCAGCACUGGAGCACUCACCGAUGGCCACUACCCGUACUGGAUGCAGCAGAAGUCUGGCCAGGCCCCCAGGACACUCAUUUAUAACACAAACAAGAAACACUCCUGGACGCCGGCCCGGUUCUCAGGCUCCAUCCAAGGGGGCAAAGCUGCCCUGACCCUCGCAGGGGCGCAGCCUGAGGACGAGGCCGAGUACUACUGCUGGCUAUACUUCAGUGGUGCUCGGCACAGGUCCAGGUCUCAGGCUGUGGUCACUCAGGAGCCUGAAAAGACCGUGUCCUCAGGAGGGACAGUCACUCUCACCUGUGGCUCCAGCACAGGGGCUGUCACCGAUGGCCACUACCCGUACUGGUUCCAGCAGAAGUCUGGCCAGGCCCCCAGGACAUUCAUUUACAACACGAACAACAGACACUCCUGGACGCCGGCCCGGUUCUCAGGCUCCAUCCAAGGGGGCAAAGCUGCCCUGACCCUCGCAGGGGCGCAGCCUGAGGACGAGGCUGUGUACCACUGCUGGCUGGUGUACAGCGGUGCUCGGCACAGUGAGAGAUGCAGAUGGGGAACCAGGACAUAA